UCUCAGCCCUAAAAGAUAUCUACAUAGAACUCUCUCUCCUUUCCCUCUCAGUAAAAAAAAGAACUCUCCUCCCAUACGAUCCCCACCAGGCACCUCAUACACAUCCGCCAUUUCUUCCAAUUUGCCGCCGGCGAAGGACAAUGUCGAUGUGCCCCAUUAGGAAACUAAUCCUCAUGCUAUCCCAGAUCCGCAUGUCGCUUCUUUUCUCCUGAUUUUUCUUCCUUGGUGGUGGCACAUGUGGCUGGGUGAGCGUGUGGAUCUCGGCGAACUCGUCGACCCUGGCAACGCGGUCACGGAGAUGUCCAGUGAGAACGCGGGUUGUGCUACUCAAAGUUGUCGUAGCCAGAGUUUUUGGAUGUUGGAGCUGCGAAGGCAUUGAGGGAGUUCGCGGAUGAAGAAAUAUAUGCAAGACGUGAGUAUCUUCUGCGAGUCGAUGUUAGUUGUUGCCCUCCUGCUGUCCAGACUUCUACCAAAUCACGAAGGGCCACUUCAAGUCGCUUGGUGACAUAAUGAUUUCAGGAGCAUCACCUGCAAGCCUACCUUCAGUUUUAGCUCGUGGAUUGGAAUUCCUGGGAAGGUCAUGUUGUUGAGGAACUCUACUAGACACAUAUUCUCCAUUGUGUUGUAAUUCAUUGUUGCCUUGCAUACAGUGUCCAAGUAUAGGAGCAAAGCUGCAAUGCCAGAUGAUACUACCGAAAUCACUUUCUUUCCUUCUGAUCGUAGCUUCGUUGUAAUUGCUUUCCAUAGGGUGUCCAUAGUAGAUUCUCCCAAUAGCGAAGCCCCUUUUCCGCUCCUCAGGUUUUGGUUUCGCUUUUCCAUACAAAUUUUGAUGGUAAUUCUGCAUAGGUUAAUUCUUUUCCCGCCUCAUGUAUUUUGUUUGCCUCCAUCCACUCAGUGAGCUUAGUACUCGUGGAUCCUGGCCUUCUUACUAUCUUCUCUAUGUCAGUCGAGUCCGGAAAAAUAAGUUCUUGCUCAUUUUUAAUGUGGAAUGGUAGUCUCUCGACUGGUGGAUCAUGAUGGUGUAUAUCAAACAGGAAUGUUUGCCAGCAUGCUUCAGUUGUUGAUAUGUAUCUCAUCUCUAGGUAUUUCUUGAUGUCAUCAUAGUCAUUUGCCGCAUCUCUUCCCUUUAGCAAGGUUGUUACCUGGUCGUCAUCUUUAUGGAUGUUCUUAAAUAGGUUGGUACUUGAUUGACCUUGGCCUGUGGCACCACUUGACAUUUAUGUGAGCUUGGAAUUGGCCAAAAGGUUUCGGUUGUAGGGUAUGACAAAUCUAUCGUUGAGCAUUGCUCCUCCCUUUUUGAUCUUCCUUCCAUUGUCUCGCCUUCUAUAUACUGGAAAGCCAUCCUCAUCGUUUGUGGUAUCGACAUUGUAUCCUUUUGGGAAGUGCUUAGUGCGUCUGUUGUCAAUCAUGCAUGAUGAUUUUGUAUUUGACACUCUGCAAGGCCCGUGCAUCAUGAAAUUUUCCACAGUUUCAUAUCCGUCCGGAUCGUCAUCUUUGUCUGGGAUCUCCGCAUCGAUUAUUUGGUCGAUUUGUGAUGUUACUUUGCACGUGUAUCAUAUGUAGGCUAAUAAGCUCAUCGGUGGUAGGAUUGAAUGAAUCCCAUAUUCACAUUUGUUUUACUUGAAUGUUCCAGUGAUGUCCCCUUGUAUUUAAGUCGCUCAACUUGUUACAUGCCAUAGUGUUUUGCCUUGAAUAUUAAUAGGGAACAAUUUUUCAAUUGAUAAAAUAUUUAUAAAGAUUAUAUCUAGAGAAAAUAAGACUGUUAAUAACAAUUACUAAAUUAUCUGAUG